rnacentral:rRNA from 1 species
AGUGAACGCUGGCGGUAGGCCUAACACAUGCAAGUCGAACGGCAGCACAGUAAGAGCUUGCUCCUACGGGUGGCGAGUGGCGGAAGGGUGAGGAAUACAUCGGUUUCUACUUUUUCGUGGGGGAUAACGUAGGGAAACUUACGCUAAUACCGCAUACCUCCUACGGGUGAAAGCAGGGGAUCUUCCGACCUUGCGCGAUCGAACGAGCUGAUGGCGGAUUAGCUAGUUGGCGGGGUAAAGGCCCACCAAGGCGACGAUCGGUUGCUGGUGUGAGCGGAUGAUCAGCGACACAGGAACUGAGACACGGUCCUGACUCCUAGGGGAGGCAGCGGUGGGGACGAUUGGACAAUGGGGGGAAUCCUGCUCCAGCCGUGCCGCGUUGGUGAAGAAGGCCUUCGGGUUGUAAAGCCCUUUUGUUGGGGAAGAACAGCAGCAGGUUAAGACCCCGCUGUUGUGACGGUACCCGAAGAAUAAGCACCGGCUAACUACGUG